CUCAAGACCAGACCAGGCUGCUCUGAUUUCAUCCCAACCUCCAUCUACAGCUAAACUGCACAGGGAAGAGGAUCCAACCGGUCCCUCCCUCCGUCUGACCGAGGAGCAGACCCGGGAUAGCCAGGGACGAUGCCAGGGAUCCUUUUGAGCCUCGCAGGGACGAUGCCAGGGAUCCCUUCGAACCUCGCCCCAAGUAGCCCGACCCCGGCCGGCAGGCGCCCAUCUCCGGCCGGACCUCAGGCUGAGCCCGUACCUUCCGCAGCACUUUCCGGCAGUUGGUACAGAGCAGGUCUCUAGUGUACCAGGAUUUGUGAAGGCCUGCAGUUCGUAGAAUGAAUCUGUGGAGAUGAUUUAAAAGAACACUUCAACUGCCCCAGCCAUUGACGAGCACCACUCAUUUGACUUGAAGUCAUUGGUUGUGUUUUCUGUGCCUCUGACGGUGCUGAUUUCAGUGUGUUGUUAUGUCACAUUUGUAUCCUUUUGCUAGGUUUAAAACUGAGCACUCCAAGCAAGUAGAUUCUUUUCUUCUGGUAUGCCAGGGGAAAACAGACAGUACUCCAGCAAAAAUAACCUUCCUGCCAAUCUGCAUUAUAACUUGAAGAGGCACCUAGUCAAGUAAAUGAAGAAAAUGGAUAUUUAGUCAUGGAGGAGCUUAAUUAACCUGUUUCACUUUUUUUUUUUUUUUUUAAUAUCUCCAUACAACAAUAUGGAUAGAGUUUACUGCAUUACACUACUUGUCACCUGCUUUAUGAUUGUUUUUUUACUUGGAUUCCUUCUCCAUGAGAUUAUAUGCUUUGCGAGGAGUGUUUUCUUCAUCAUUCUGUCCUUAAUUCAGUAAUUUUUAAAGAAG